rnacentral:snRNA from 1 species
AUCCUUGCGCAGUGGCAGUAUUAUAGCCUAUGAGGUUCAUCUGACGUGUGAUUAUUGCUAGUUGAAAACUUUACCCAAUACCCACCUUGGUGAUUUGAAAUAUAAUCGUCAAAGGCUAUUUUUGACAGUCUCAAUGGAGA